UCCGGUUCGACGGGAGUCAUCGUCCUUGUCGGCACUAUGACACUGUUGCGAACUGGGAU
rnacentral:pre_miRNA from 1 species